rnacentral:tRNA from 1 species
GCUUUUAAAGGAAAAAAGAUAUCCACUAAUCUUAGGCAUUAACCCCUCUUGGUGCAAUUCCAAGUGAAAGCA